rnacentral:rRNA from 1 species
GUGGGGGUGCUCGAAAGAGAACCAGGACACAGGUGCUGCAUGGCCGUCGUCAGCUCGUGUCGUGAGAUGUUGGGUUAAGUCCGCAACGAGCGCAACCCUUAUCAUUAGUUGCUACGCAAGGGCACUCUAAUGAGACUGCCGGUGACAAACCGGAGGAAGGUGGGGAUGACGUCAGGUCAUCAUGGCCCUUAUGGGUAGGGCUACACACGUCAUACAAUGGCCGGUACAGAGGGCUGCCAACCCGCGAGGGGGAGCUAAUCUCAGAAAACCGGUCGUAGUCCGGAUCGCAGUCUGCAACUCGACUGCGUGAAGUCGGAAUCGCUAGUAAUCGCGGAUCAGCUUGCCGCGGUGAAUACGUUCCCGGGUCUUGUACACACCGCCCGUCACACCAUGGGAGCGGGUUCUGCCAGAAGUGGGUAGCCUAACCGCAAGGAGGGCGCUCACCACGGCAGGGUUCGUGACUGGGGUGAAGUCGUAACAAGGUAGGCGUAGUGCU